GAUAACGGCGUCGAGCGGCGGACGGGUGAGUAAUGCCUAGGAAAUUGCCCUGAUGUGGGGGAUAACCAUUGGAAACGAUGGCUAAUACCGCAUGAUGCCUACGGGCCAAAGAGGGGGACCUUCGGGCCUCUCGCGUCAGGAUAUGCCUAGGUGGGAUUAGCUAGUUGGUGAGGUAAGGGCUCACCAAGGCGACGAUCCCUAGCUGGUCUGAGAGGAUGAUCAGCCACACUGGAACUGAGACACGGUCCAGACUCCUACGGGAGGCAGCAGUGGGGAAUAUUGCACAAUGGGCGCAAGCCUGAUGCAGCCAUGCCGCGUGUGUGAAGAAGGCCUUCGGGUUGUAAAGC
rnacentral:rRNA from 1 species